GUCUACAGCCUUGCUACCCUGUACAAGCUUGAUCCCAUCUGAUCUCAGAAGCUAAGUAGGGUCGGGCCUGGUUAGUACUUGGAUGGGAGACCACCUAGAAAGACCAGGUACUGUGGGCG
ensembl:rRNA 5S_rRNA 5S ribosomal RNA